GACGGAGGGUGCAAGCGUUGCUCGGAAUCAUUGGGCGUAAAGGGCGCGUAGGCGGGCAGCAAAGUCUGCGGUGAAAUCUUUCGGCUCAACCGGAAAAUGGCCGUGGAUACUGGCUGUCUUGAGGGAGGUAGGGGCCCGUGGAACUUCCGGUGGAGCGGUGAAAUGCGUUGAUAUCGGAAGGAACGCCGGUGGCGAAAGCGGCGGGCUGGAUCUCUUCUGACGCUGAGGC
rnacentral:rRNA from 1 species